rnacentral:rRNA from 1 species
CCUACGGGUGGCUGCAGUCGAGAAUCAUUCACAAUGGGGGAAACCCUGAUGGUGCGACGCCGCGUGGGGGAAUGAAGGUCUUCGGAUUGUAAACCCCUGUCAUGUGGGAGCAAAUUAAAAAGAUAGUACCACAAGAGGAAGAGACGGCUAACUCUGUGCCAGCAGCCGCGGUAAUACAGAGGUCUCAAGCGUUGUUCGGAAUCACUGGGCGUAAAGCGUGCGUAGGCUGUUUCGUAAGUCGUGUGUGAAAGGCGCGGGCUCAACCCGCGGACGGCACAUGAUACUGCGAGACUAGAGUAAGGGAGGGGGAACCGGAAUUCUCGGUGUAGCAGUGAAAUGCGUAGAUAUCGAGAGGAACACUCGUGGCGAAGGCGGGUUCCUGGACAGUAACUGACGCUGAGGCACGAAGGCCAGGGGAGCGAAAGGGAUUAGAUACCCUGGUAGUC